ACUCAAAGGAAUUGACGGGGGCCCGCACAAGCGGCGGAGCAUGCGGAUUAAUUCGAUGCAACGCGAAGAACCUUACCUGGGUUUGACAUACACGGGAAGCUCCCAGAGAUGGGAGUCUCUUUGAUACUCGUGUACAGGUGGUGCAUGGCUGUCGUCAGCUCGUGUCGUGAGAUGUUGGGUUAAGUCCCGCAACGAGCGCAACCCUCGUUCCAUGUUGCCAGCAAUUCGGUUGGGGACUCAUGGGAGACUGCCGGGGUCAACUCGGAGGAAGGUGGGGAUGACGUCAAGUCAUCAUGCCCCUUAUGUCCAGGGCUUCACGCAUGCUACAAUGGCCGGUACAAAGGGCUGCGAUCCUGUGAGGGUGAGCGAAUCCCAAAAAGCCGGUCUCAGUUCGGAUUGGGGUCUGCAACUCGACCCCAUGAAGUCGGAGUCGCUAGUAAUCGCAGAUCAGCAACGCUGCGGUGAAUACGUUCCCGGGCCUUGUACACACCGCCCGU
rnacentral:rRNA from 1 species